AGGAUAUAAAGCUUAUAAAAGCAACUAACUGUUAAUUAGAAGAUUGCGAAUUUUAUACCUUAUCGCUUAUCCUAC
rnacentral:tRNA from 1 species